UACGUAGGGGGCAAGCGUUGUCCGGAAUCAUUGGGCGUAAAGAGCGUGUAGGCGGCUCGGUAAGUCCGCUGUAAAAGUCCAGGGCUCAACCCUGGAAAGCCGGUGGAAACUGUCGAGCUAGAGUCCGGAAGAGGCGAGUGGAAUUCCUGGUGUAGCGGUGAAAUGCGCGGAUAUCAGGAGGAACACCAAUGGCGAAGGCAGCUCGCUGGGACGGUACUGACGCUGAGACGCGAAAGCGUGGGGAGCAAACAGG
rnacentral:rRNA from 1 species